GUGCUCACUUUGGCAGCACAUAUCCUAAAAUUGGAACGAUACAGAGAAGAUCAGCAUGGCCCCUGUGCAAAGAUGACAUGCAAAUUCGUGAAGCAUUCCAUAUUUUU
rnacentral:snRNA from 2 species